UCUAAGCAUGCUUGGCUUAUAGGCCUACUUGUACUUAAUCUUUUGAUCGGGAUACUGUAUACUUUAGAAAAUUAUAAUUAAGUAUUCUUGCCUUAUAGGCCUACAGAAAGGUAUACUUGGCUUGAAGUUGUGCUUAACUUUCUGUUAGAGUAGCUUAUUCAAGUGUGUCAGUUGUAACUACAGAAUUAUUUUAAAAAUGAUUCAAAUAUAAAAUCAAAGCACUAACACAAAUUUGGGUAACCAUAUUUGUCUGAAUAACAAUUAUUCUCCAAAUCCUCUCCUGAAUAUUGAGUUUGAUUCCCAGCUUUUCUUUUUUCCUUUUUUCUCUUUUCAUUGUUGUAGAUUUGGCAAAUAAAAAAAAAUCUCCAGCUUCAAACAAACUUCUUGAUAUCCUCAGUUUGCAGCAAAAAUAUGUUUCAAUGUCUCCUUUUUCAUUUGUUUUGUAACUUCACAGAAGAAAAGUCACAAAGAUGUUAGUUUAAACUGUUCUCACUAUUUUUAUAGAAUAAAUAUGCGGGCAUUUAACUUCUCUGCUGCCUAAUAUCUCAAUUGGUUAUAAGGUAUUUUACAAAUGUGGUUCAACACAGUCUUCAACGAGUGUGGUGAUGGGUCUAAUGAAUGGACAGGAAAGGACUUUGGGUCAAACCUGUUCUGGCCAGUCAUCUGUUCAUGCCAUCAUCGGACCAUCCGAUUCCUCCUCAACCAUUGCGAUGCUACGAAUUGCAGGGGUUUUCCAAAUACCAAUGGUAAAUAUUUGUCAUAUUGGUAUUAUUUUUUUGACUGAUUUCACCAUGUUCCUUUUUACAACGUAGUGGGUUCAGGGUGUGAAUAUUUGUAACUGGUUGAGUGUGAACAGGUGAUUCCUGAAAAAAAGAACCCGGUUCAGGUUAUUUUCAAGUGUUUUUUUUUGUUCAUUUGACGAAUCCUUUUUACCUAUAUGUUUUUUGUAAAUGUUGAUAUUAUUCUCUUGUGAUGACAGUGUACAUGGUGAGGGCCCUAUUGUCCUUAUUAAAAUGAAGAGACAGGAAGUCAUGAAUAGUUUUUACAUUAUUUUUCUUUUCUUUUACAUUUUUAUUGAAAUAAAAUAAAGUGGUAACAAUACAAGUGUAAGAUAAUACAGGACAUGAUUUUUAAACGUUUUUUUUUUAUAUAUGAAAUGCAAAUUAACAUGUGGGGACGCAAAAAAAACCUUCGUGGAGGUAUGCCCAAACCCAAAAGGAUGUCAGCCAUUUUUAAUUCAAUGUACCAUUUUUGCCCAUUUUUAGCAUUUUAUAUGCCCUGUAACAAACUCCUCGUACAGAUGAAUUAAUUAAUUAAUUAAUCAGAUUUGAAAUUUGGUCAGGACCAUCUAAAGACCUUAAGGAUGAAAAGUUAUUAAAACCCUGAGUUUUCAUUAAACGACCCGCCUUGGUGUGGCGGCCAUUUUGGUCCAUUCACCAUGAAACAGGAAGUUGCUCUAACUCCACUGUACAUAGUCCAAUCUGCUCCAAAUGUCUCAGCCAUGAUAACGGUCCUCUCCUGACGUCAUUCACAUGCCAAUACAAACUCAGAGCCCCGCCCCUACACGUAAGUUCCGCCCUAUUCCAUAACUCAUAAACUGUUUGUCAUAGACUCUUGUGGGAGGUAUUAUUGCUCGCAGCAGAUAGUUCCUGUUUCAUGAUACGGUUAUUCCCGGCCCCUACACAUCGAUGUCCCGCCAGUAAUCCAGACGCGCAAGCUGGUGCGAGGGCCCAGUCAUCAUUGCUUGCGGCUUUAAUUAUUAUUAUUUUAACGCAAGUAUUUUUUAACUGUCUAUUGAAGCACCCAACAGGUAGGAUUCCCUAUAUCAUGGAAUUACCUAAAAUCAUAAUGUGAGUUUAACUGCCAGUCAACAAUGUUGAGUUGACUUUGAAAAGAAUAUAUAGUUGCUUUGUAGCUUUUAUUUAGAUUUUGAUACAGAGAAAAAAGAAAGAUAUAUAUUAUGCAUUUUUAAGUGAAUAAUAUUCUGGGGUCACUUCCGUGAGACGUAUUUUUCUUUCGAUUUCAGGUAUGAGAACAAUUAUAAAGCACUUUGGUGCAGAUACAGUAUACAGAGAAAUAACCCAUAACUGGAGGCCAGAAUGGGAAAUAUCUCCACAGCCAAAGUGAACUUCCUAGGAGAGCUGACAUACGUUUGGAUGAAUGUGAUCCAGACUGCACAGAAGUGUGGCCCUGAAGGCCAUUAACACCACUAUCUUUAUCCCCAGACCACAAGAGAUGCAGAGGACAAAGGUGAUGCUGAACGCUGUGUGUCGCAGCAUGCAGGACCACUCAGAGGGCCUGCCGAUGAAGGUCAGAGAACACAGGAAACACAGAGUCAAGGAGAAGAGCAGCAGGAAGCUCAGCUCUGACUUCAGUGAAGUAGAGGAACUCAACAUGUUUCAGUACACAUACAUCUCUGUUAUGAUUGGACCAAUACUCUUCAGGACACUUUUUGCAGUCAUAAGAAUCUGUAAUAGAAAUAUUGUCACGGUUAUUGUAAUUUUAUCAGUUUACAACCUAAAAACGUAAUUAAGAGACUGUACCAUAGCGAGCUUUAACAUAUAACAUAGAGUGUGUAAAGUAAACAAUGUAUGCAAAUUGGCUCAUCUCAGGUCUGUGGAGCAUAUACCUCUGCAUAUGGUAUAGAGUCAUAGCAGCAGGCCGGCUUUCCUUUCUGCAGGACUUUAUAAGUUCCUGGAUGACAGCUCUCACUGCACAUUGACACAGGCCUCAUUAUGGCUUCAGUUUUGAGGACAAACAUUCAUAAUAGCCAACAGGUUUAAACUGGACUGAGUCAUCUGAUCCACGCUGCCAGUUCACUACUUCGUAACGAGCCACAGCUGCUCCGGUGCUGUUUCUAUUAUUUUACCCUACAUGUUACAUCAUUUUUAGGGAAUUCUGCAUUUGGAUGAUGGAAUUAAAGUUACACUUUUGACAGCUGAUCAAAAUAAACAAUUUAACACACACCUGAUUUUGCGAGGCAUUGGGCCAUGUGAUAUUUAAUUUGGUGUUAUUGUUAUUUUCCAGUCAAAGGGAUGUUUAAUAGUCAGCUGAUAUGCCUCAUAGGCCUUCUUUAAUUAAAAUGAACUUGUUGUUUGUGUGUUUGCAGAGAUGCCUGUUAGUUUAUGGAACACUUUGGACCUCUCCAGAGGUUAUGUCCUUUGGGGGUUGAUUGGAGCACAUGUGGUGAAGUGCGUGUGCCUCAGGCCUGACCAUGACUUACACCUCAGGCUCUUCCCGCUCACAAGCAUUCUAACGAACUAACAAUCCCCCUCCAGAGUUCACAGUGUCUCCAGCCUACAUCCACUCCAUACCUGUCCUCAAGGCUUACACUGGAAACUUCCCGUCAGGGCUGUUUCAUCAUGAUCCCCUUAAGAUUGCUACUGGAGAACUUGUGAGGCCUUUGUACAAGACAGUGCCCUUUGACCAUGAUGUUGCCUGUUGAACUCACCAAACUUCAAUAAUGAAUAAAAUAAAUAAAGACAUACAUUUAAGUUUAUA